GACGAACCGUGCGAACGUUGUUCGGAUUCACUGGGCUUAAAGGGCGCGUAGGUGGUCUGUCAAGUCGGGGGUGAAAUCUUUCGGCUCAACCGGAAAACUGCCUUCGAUACUGACAGGCUAGAGGGAGGUAGGGGUUGCGGGAACUACCAGUGGAGCGGUGAAAUGCGUUGAUAUUGGUAGGAACGCCGGUGGCGAAAGCGCGCAACUGGAUCUCUUCUGACACUGAGUGCGCGAAAGCUAGGGGAGCAAACGGG
rnacentral:rRNA from 1 species